GGGUUACUCCUUGGCGCUUGCGCGCUGUUUUGAUGAAGAUUCGCACCUCUAUCAAAACGGGUAACCCCGCCUCUUGGCAAGGCCUUACUGUCAGAUCAAGUCUGAACUUCUACAUAUGAUCUAAGAGGCCAGUUCAAAAACCCUGCUCAGCUCGUCUGAAGAUGUUCCAACAGAUGAUCGAGCAGCCA
rnacentral:sRNA from 1 species